GAGACAGUGAGCGUGCGCACAGGGACACAGACGUAGGGCGGGUUUCACAGCAAAUGCACACAAUACACUGAACACUUGAGAUUGUUCUUGGUACAAUACAAACAGUCAUGUUUGUGAAGAUUUGGAGGCCAAUGUGCUCAGUUUUAAGAAGGAAUGUAAAAGAGCAAUUCCUGUUUGGUAACUGCGCCUGCGGGAGCGCACCACCUCAUAAGGUGAACUUCAUCAGGAAGGGCCGCUGUGAUGUGGAGGGGAGGAAGUCUCACCCUGAAUCACGCAAGGGGCGGUGAGGGCUCCAAUGAAAACUGAAUUCAGUAUUCCAGAUGGCACCACAGCCCGCCGGGCGCUGGCACAGUGGACUCGGGGGUUUUACCAGCAGCUCCAGGCUGGUCCUUGAGGCUGCACUGGACCUGAGCCGGGAAGAAGAGAGCAGAGACCCGCCAAGCUCCUCUGGCCCAGCUGGUGUGCCCCUGCUGCUCGAGUAGGAGUCCCGGUGGGACCAGCGUCCCCAGCCCGGUGCCCACGCAGACGGUAAGCUCCCCCACCGCCCACCACCCCUGUGUAGGAGUGGGCGGGUAGGAGUUGAUCUUUUCCAGAUAUCACUCUGGGUAGGUAAAAACUGCCUUCAUGGCUACUAAAAGCUGAAGAGAAGCCUGACUCAUCAUGGCUCCCAGGCCUGGUGCGAGGCUCCUGGGACGGCGCGGGCUGCGGGGCUCCCUUCCUCUCCUCCACAUCACAGCGGCCCUUCCUGAUGAAGUUCUCACUGGACCCUCUGCAUUCGGCCUAGGCGGAGACGGGGGGUUUGAGGACGCUUCCGUCCCACAUCACUUUCUGAAGUCUCCAGGAUUGGCCACGUUGUACAGAACACUCUGGAGUGUUGUAAAGAUCUCAAAGCAGCAAGACACUGAGAGGACAGAAAGGAACAGAGCUCUGCGCCCAGCGUCAAGGACAGUCCUGGCAUGAGGGGGGACCAGACGCGGCCUGGUACCUCACCUGACGUGUGCCAAGGAUGAAGGAGGCCGAUGCGGACAUUCUUUAUUAAAUAAGGGCUGCUUUUCUCAUCAUUGUGUUUGAGUCGUUAAAAUUCAGGCAAUUUUAGGAAGCUGUGGCAUGAGAAAUAGCCUGGUGUUGGGCAUGAAAACACCUGUCUACAUUUCCUCGAGAGGCCAAGGAUGCCCAUUCUGGAGGUGUCACCACGCAAAACCGUGACACAGAGUGGUGCCUUUGACUCCUGUUUACCCUGAACAUUGCCUCAGAACAUGAGGCCCCCCUGGCUCUCCCCCUUUCUACUCCGUGAGUAGACGGAGUAAAACAUCAAUUUCUACAAUUUCCAGGAGGGGCAAUCUUCAAAGGAAAAUGAGGAGGGAAACCAGUAUCGACCAAAUUUGUAAGAUCAAGAAACUGCAAAUGUCACAGAAAGAAGUAAUCCCAACAAAGAGCAUUCUGAAGCAAAGGGCACUCUCUCAUUAUUUUCGUAUUUAUAGAAACGCUCCUUGGGUGACUUGGUACCCGUGAAUGGUGCACCUGCUGCUGUCCUGCUUGCUCUCUGUCCUCCUGUCGAGGGCCCGUGACCUGCUCACCGGCACUCACCGUCCAGAAGCCUGUUCUUGAACGUGGUGUGGGGCGAGUGUGCUAGGUGUGUGGAGGGUGGCUGUGAACGCAGCCGAUUCCUGAGAGGCAGUGAGGGCUGCGGAGGGAGGGCUGAGGUUGGCUCAGAGGAGGAGCCAGGGAACCAGGACGCAGCCCCAAUAUGCCCAGGGUAUGCUGAGCUGCCCAGGGCCUCGGGGUCCAGUGGACAGGGACAGCGUCCAUCCUGUGGCAGUACUAAGGGAGUGGACACCUGAGGACGCUCCCCUCUGGUUGGUCUGGCUUCUCCCUGGGGUGCUGCUCCUCGCCACUGGCAGACCCUCGGGCGCUGGACUUCCUCCGCCUCUGGCAUCAGAAGUGCAGCUCCCAAACUCUGGGAAACCAGUGCUUCAAGGUCACCUUAAGCGCUCUUGACAAAAGGAAAUCGUCUGUCAGGCAUGUUAUACAAACCAGUAUUUGACAAGCUCAGUGACUUGAUUCAGUCACAGGUAAACGUGAGAAAAGUGCAUCCUCUCAGUGUGAUAAAGGACCAGUCUGCACUAACCUGGCACUUGGUGGGACUCUCCCACGUGGAGCUGCACAUUCCUGGCUGGUGCCUGUCCUGCAGAAUUCCAGACCACGUGCUGUUCCCUGUGCAGUGGAACAGUGGCAGGAGCCAGGCCACCGUCUCUCAUGCCACCGGCCCAGAGGUGCUCCCGGCCUGCAGCUGCCUCAGAACUUUGCCAAACGCCACGUGGACGAGACUCUGGCUAAGCAAAACCUCUCUUGAGGUUUUAGGUAAAAUAGUAAUUUUAAAAUUACUAUUUUACCUAAUCUAAAUCAGAAGGGGAAGAGACAGGACAAGACAAUGAGAACAGGAAGAACCCUCCAACGACUUCAUAGCCCAUCAGUAAUGAGAAUGGAAUUCAUCAUCGGCUUCCAUUUUAAAAACAAGUUCAUCCCUACCUGUUCAUAGUUUUUAUAUGUUUGCUUUGACUUUUGUAUCUUCCAAAUGCGACUUUCCCCCCAGUUUUUUUGUAAGUGUCAUAUAGGUUUUAAUCUUCUGUUUUCGUUUAAGUUUUGAAAACUUGAGCUCCCACCAGCGAGUUCCAAUCUGGUGCUGGAUAGCUCUUGGGAACCCAGACACAGGCACAGGUCUUCCAUGAGCCUUCCUCCAGGGAGAAGCCCAUGGAUUCCUCCCCCGGGACCAGCGCAGGCUGCGGCUAAGCUUGCACCUUGACGGGCAGAGAGGCUGGCACACAGUCGGCUCUGAGGGUCCUUCCUGUUCUCAAUCUCUUAUCCUGCCUGUCUUCAUCCUGACUGACCUAUGAUAACCAGAAUUGCCCUCUGCAAGUAACAGAAAUUCAAACCAAGCCAACCUGCAAGAGCGCGCUCACACACACACACACACACACACACACACACACAAUCACUGGUUUAUGCACUUUAUAAUUAUGGGUAACUGAUGUUUACAUAUUACUGUCUUCUCCCCACCAAACGCAGAGUCAUGCACGUAAACUAGAGACGUUCCUGUUUUAAAUGCUGUGAGAAUCUUCUGUUAGGAGCCCUAAGCCUCUGCUCUAUCCCUGCAAAUCAUGAAGGAUGUGGGGUCUUGGAUGGGGAGGUCACUCUCCAGCUGAGCAUCAUCUCAUCUGUAAUCUCUUCUGUAGAAGACUGAUUUCAACUUGCACUGACCUCAAAGCCCAAUUCAGGAGUCUUCUGUUCUCAGUAGGGAUUCUCUCUAUAAAGCAUAGGUGAGCAAUGUACAUUUACUAACGACUUUGUGCAAGACCCUAAGGGUGAACUCUCAUUGCCUGACAUAGGGUAUUUCACUCCAAAAAAAACCGAGAAUUGACUUUUCUCAUCCGCCUUCUCCAUUCCCGCCUUUGGUCUCCUUCGACCCAUCCUGCCUUGUGAAGUCUCGACUCUCUCCUCUGAAGCAGAAGCAGAGCUCACUCUCAGAGGCCAGAGGACUGGCAACCCUGGAGCCCCCAAACAGGCUUGUGAAUCAUUAAGUCCAACCCUGCAGUCUCCCCCAAGGGGGGCACUUGGAAUGUAGCUAAGGAUUUUUAUCUUUGCAUUUACAUUUAAUUACAUUUAAUUGUUCGAUUCUCCAACAGUGCUCCUUUUAAUUUCUCUAGAUGAACCCAGGAUGUAAAUAUUUUCCAGUCCAAGGAAGAGUCUCCAGUGGGCUGGAGCUGGUCGAUGAGCCGCCACGUCCUGCAUGCAGGGUCUCUGGGAGCGUCUCCAAGGGCAGCCUCCACCUGGGAGCCACAGGAACCAGGAUUUCCCACUUCUCCUCUAGGAACAAAGCAUCGUGAGCUGCAGGAGAGGAGAGAAGACAUAUCGAGGGGUUUAUUUUAUGGCGAUUGUGAAAAUGGUUAGUGGGUAAGGUGUGGAGAGCUCAUGGUGUAGCAUGAGAAAAAUGCGGGGUCUCUCCUGCCAAGAGUGACUGGCAGAGAGAAAGAGGAAGAGUGCCUUUCUCUGUGGUUUGAGACUUUUUACUAGAGAAGACAAAACCGAGAAAACUCGCUAUGCAAAUUUACAUGUUUCAUUAAUAUUUACCACUUGGUCCAAUUUGAUGAAAAGGAGUCAAGAGUGUGGAAGCAGAAGAAGUGGCCACCCAGAUGGAGGCUCGCAGUUGCUGAUCUUUCUGCUGCUGCGAGGACACUUGAGGCAGGCCAGCCAUCUCCCGCCACGUCCCCUCUGCCCCACAACUCACGCCAUGCGGGAAAACCAAGAGCAGGCACGGGGCGGGCACGGCUGCCCCGAGAGGCCCAGCCAGCUGGGACAGGUCAGAGACCAGGCAGGCCAGCCCAGCGAGGUGGCUCUGGAGGGGAACUCUUCCGCUCAUUUCCUGUGUUUACAUCACACGUUGGACUGUUAUCACAUUAACGUGAUGUUGAUCUAACCUCAUGUUUGUGUCUCAGCUAAAAAACGAAAGUAAGCUGGGAGCAGUGGACUCCCACGGGGAUGAGUGGAAGUCAGCACUGCGUGCCAGCCUCGAGGAACCCACUGACCAGCCACGCAGACCGCUGCCCAGGACGGGCCGAAGGAAACACCACCACGGUCCCAGCCAGAGCACUCAAAGGGCACAGUGGCCUAGCCACGGAGGACCCCUUCCUCCAUGACAACACAAG
rnacentral:lncRNA from 1 species